rnacentral:rRNA from 1 species
GAUGAACGCUGGUGGCGUGCCUAAUACAUGCAAGUCGAGCGAACGGACGAGAAGCUUGCUUCUCUGAUGUUAGCGGCGGACGGGUGAGUAACACGUGGAUAACCUACCUAUAAGACUGGGAUAACUUCGGGAAACCGGAGCUAAUACCGGAUAAUAUUUUGAACCGCAUGGUUCAAAAGUGAAAGACGGUCUUGCUGUCACUUAUAGAUGGAUCCGCGCUGCAUUAGCUAGUUGGUAAGGUAACGGCUUACCAAGGCAACGAUGCAUAGCCGACCUGAGAGGGUGAUCGGCCACACUGGAACUGAGACACGGUCCAGACUCCUACGGGAGGCAGCAGUAGGGAAUCUUCCGCAAAGGGCGAAAGCCUGACGGAGCAACGCCGCGUGAGUGAUGAAGGUCUUCGGAUCGUAAAACUCUGUUAUUAGGGAAGAACAUAUGUGUAAGUAACUGUGCACAUCUUGACGGUACCUAAUCAGAAAGCCACGGCUAACUACGUG